rnacentral:tRNA from 1 species
GCUGGCGUGGUGGAAUUGGCAGACACGCUAUCUUGAGGGGGUAGUGGGCAUACGCCCGUGCGGGUUCGAGUCCCGCCGCCAGCACCA